AUUGAACGCUGGCGGAAUGCCUAACACAUGCAAGUCGAGCGGGGUAGCAAUACUCAGCGGUGGACGGGUGAGGAAUACGUAGGAAUUUGCCUUUAGGUGGGGGAUAGCUUGGGGAAACUCAAGGUAAUUCCGCAUGAUCUCGCAAGAGCAAAGUGGGGGACCGCAAGGCCUCACGCCUUUAGAGAAGCCUACGUCUGAUUAGCUUGUUGGUGAGGUAAUGGCUCACCAAGGCGACGAUCAGUAACUGGUCUGAGAGGACGAUCAGUCACACCGGAACUGAGACACGGUCCGGACUCCUACGGGAGGCAGCAGUGGGGAAUAUUGGACAAUGGGCGAAAGCCUGAUCCAGCAAUUCCGCGUGUGUGAAGAAGGCCUUCGGGUUGUAAAGCACUUUAGGUUGGGAAGAAAAAGCUUCGGCGAAUAUCCGGAGUGUUGACGGUACCAACAGAAUAAGCACCGGCUAACUCUGUGCCAGCAGCCGCAGUAA
rnacentral:rRNA from 1 species